UACGAAGGGGGCUAGCGUUGCUCGGAAUUACUGGGCGUAAAGGGCGCGUAGGCGGGCUGGCCAGUCUGUGGUGAAAUCCCCCGGCUUAACCGGGGAACUGCCGUGGAUACUGCCAGUCUCGAGGAGGGUAGGGGCAUCUGGAACAGCCGGUGGAGCGGUGAAAUGCGUUGAUAUCGGCUGGAACUCCGGUGGCGAAGGCGAGAUGCUGGACCCUUUCUGACGCUGAGGCGCGAAAGCCAGGGGAGCGAACGGG
rnacentral:rRNA from 1 species